GCACUAUAGAACCUCUUUAAAAUAUAUCUGCAUGCAUUUUUUCAUUGGGGGUAUAUUCACUAAACAGUGAUAUAUUUUAUAAUUUAUUUUUAAUCCCAAAAAUGUACCUUUGAAUGGUCAUUAGAUCAAGGAAAACCAUAGUGUCUAAGUGUCUGUUUUCAAACACUGUGCGACCCAAGAUGUGUGUAUUUGGCCAAAGGAUCUUGUCAUAUACUAGAAGUAGGUAUGGGUUUUUCUCAUUUUGGUUAUCCGUCUAGCAGGCAGGUGUUGUGGAGUGGUGCUCUAUGGACACAAGAUGUUGAACAGUAUCCAGCGACUGAUUUUUUGGACACACACACCCCACCCCCCCAUUCGGCCCAUCUAGUCUGCUCAAUUUUCUAGAUACUUUCAUUAGUUCCUGGCCUUAUCUUAAGUCUAGGAUAGCCUUAUGUCUAUCUCACGCACAGGGCCAUUUGAAGGAAUUUGGGGGCCCCAAGCAAAAUGAACAUGGAGGCUCCCCCACUUCCAACCCCCCCACCCCCCACAUGCACGCAAAGCCUACAGGAACCACAGCAUAGCCAUACAGUUUAAGUUCACCCACACUUUAUAUAAAUAAAAAAGGUUUACAGUGCAAAUACUGCUUAGCGCUCUGCCCUGCCCCUUAGUGGUCUUUCCUCUCCCC